rnacentral:rRNA from 1 species
UACGGAGGAUGCAAGCGUUAUCCGGAAUGAUUGGGCGUAAAGCGUCCGCAGGUGGCUGUGUAAGUCUGCUGUCAAAGAGCAAAGCUCAACUUUGUAAAGGCAGUGGAAACUACACGGCUAGAGUGCGUUCGGGGCAGAGGGAAUUCCUGGUGUAGCGGUGAAAUGCGUAGAUAUCAGGAAGAACACCGGUGGCGAAGGCGCUCUGCUAGGCCGCAACUGACACCGAGGGACGAAAGCUAGGGGAGCGAAUGGG